rnacentral:lncRNA from 1 species
GUGGCAGGCAGUUGGAGGCAGUUGGAGGCAGAGGCAGAGGCUGAGAAGGGAGGGGGGCAAACGGAGGAGGUCCUAGACCAGACCAGACCAGACAGACCCCAGACCCCAGACCCCAGACCCCAGACCCCAGACCCCAGAGACCAGACCCCAGAGACCAGACCCCAGAGACCAGACACCAGAGACCAGACACCAGAGACCAGACACCAGAGACCAGACACCAGAGACCAGACACCAGAGACCAGAGACCAGACACCAGACACCAGAGACCAGACACCAGAGACCAGAGACCAGACACCAGAGACCAGACACCAGACACCAGACACCAGACACCAGACACCAGACACCAGAGACCAGAGACCAGAGACCAGAGACCAGAGACCAGAGACCAGAGACCAGAGACCAGAGACCAGACCAGACCAGACCAGACCAGAUCCUCCUUCCCCAGCUGCAGAACCACCCCAACGCCCACAACCACAUGCUGCAGGACCCGGGACGUGACUCCUGGCUGUCAAUUCUUAUUUUUACGUGGUGGUGGUGGGGAAAUGUGAGGAUUUCCAAGUGUGGACUGAAGGCACUAAAUACCGAACUGGAGACUGCUGUUGGUCAGUAAACCACUGAAGUCUGAGGAUGCUUCAGUAGUCAAGGCAGGAGUCCAGCAUGCCUGUCCUCUGACUCACACAGAUACAGAAACUCACCGUCAAACAGUUGAUGGAACCUGAGGACUCUUAUGGAGGAACAGGAGGAAAGAUUACAGGCCCUGAAUGGGAUAGGAACUCCACAGGAAAACUAACACAGACAACUAACCUGGACCCUUGUGACUCCAGAGACUGAACCACCAAACAAAGAAUAUAUAUGUACUGGACCUAGGCCUCCCCACACAUAUGUAGCAGAUGUGCUUCUUGGUAUUCUUGUGGGUCUCAAGCAACUGCUGUGAGGGGUCUAUCCCAAAAGCUGUUAUCUGUACCUGGGAUAUGUUCUUCUAGCUCGGCUUCCUUGUUUAGCCUCAGUGGGAGAGGAUACAUCUAGCUUCACAGAGACUUGAUGUACAAGGGUGUGGGAAUACCCAGGGGUCCCCGGGAUCCCCUACUGCCCCAGAGGAGAAGGGGAAUGGGGAAGGAUUGUAGGAGUGGUGACCAGGAAGGGGCAGUGAGUGGGAUGUAAAGUGAAUAAAUAAAAAAUAAUACAUAAGCUCAUCUUACAUCUGGAGCAGGAACAGUACAAAGCCAACCUGAGACAAUUUGUUGAGUAACAAAGAAAAACAAAAACAUCUCAAA